rnacentral:rRNA from 1 species
AUUGAACGCUGGCGGCAUGCCUAACACAUGCAAGUCGAGCGGAUGAAGGGAGCUUUCUCCUGGAUUCAGCGGCGGACGGGUGAGUAAUGCCUAGGAAUCUGCCUGGUAGUUGGGGAUAACGUCCGUAAACGGGCGCUAAUACCGCAUACGUCCUGAUGUAGAACGUGGGGGUUCUUCGGACCUCACGCUUUCUGAUGACACUAGGUCGGAUUAGCUAGUUGGUGGGGUAAAGGCCUACCAAGGCGACGAUCCGUAACUGGUCUGAGAGGAUGAUCAGUCACACUGGAACUGAGACACGGUCCAGACUCCUACGGGAGGCAGCAGUGGGGAAUAUUGGACAAUGGGCGAAAGCCUGAUCCAGCCAUGCCGCGUGUGUGAAGAAGGUCUUCGGAUUGUAAAGCACUUUAAGUUGGGAGGAAGGGAAGUAAGUUAAUACCUUGCUGUUUUGACGGUACCAAAAGAAUAAGCACCGGCUAACUUCGUG